CGCAACUCAUCACCCUCUCUCCCCAACACCAUACCACCACCUCCGUUAUCGAUCUCCUCCGUUCUGUCAUGGGUUGUGGCGCUUCAGUUUUGGGUCCUGAGCACCAUCCCAACAACCCCUUCCACUACAAAGUCGCCCGACCCAUCAACGUCGAGGAGCCUCCCAAAGCCUCUCCUUCGCCCCUCAACAACGACGCCGUUUUCUCCUUCCGCUUCAUGCCGGCCGACCAUGACGAGGUCGGAGUCAAAGAGGCCAUGCAACAUGGCCCCGCAAAGCCUCCGUCCGUUAACGUUCUUCCACCCACCGUUGAGAUUGAGAGGGAUGAUGCCUUCUCCGGCGCUGCGUCCCCCAGUUUCAGGGAAUAUUGCGUCCACUCCGGAUCUUCCAGUGAUAUAGAACACUCCCACGAUGACCCUGACAUGGCCGAAACCACCGACAACAUGGGUAAUGACGAUCCAAUAUUGGUGGGCAAGAGCAAGCCAUCGAGGAAGGAAAUCACCAACCCCAAAAAGGAGUCUGAGAAGAAAGAGAGAAAAGGGAGAAGACUUAGGGAUGUUAUAAACAAGGGAAGAUCAGGUGGGAAGAAAAUUGGCAUCGUUCGCCAUAGAUCUGACAACAUAGCCGGAAGACUCACUUGAGAAGAGAAAAUGUGAAGAGCAAGUCCUUAAUUCUCAUCCAUCUGCGAGUGUCGUGGGACUAUAGAGGAAUCAGGAUUGCUUUUUAAAAUCCUGAAUAUUCUCAUAUGACAUAUCACAUACCAGUUAUGGGGGUCAGAAGAAAAGUUUAUAUACAUACAUGCUUAUUCACCUGAAUAUUCUCAUACGACAUUUAACAUACCAACAGUUAUCGAGAGAAUUACCAGACACACGUGCGUGAUCUAUAUUAUAUUCAGAACUGAUGAUACGCUAAAUUUAAACACAGCCUUAGCCUGCAAUUCGCACUUCUCUCUAC